rnacentral:piRNA from 1 species
UGGGAAAUCAACCUCAGCCCACAGGUGCAC